GUGAGUGGGUCUUCAGCCCCUGAGGGCUCCUGGGCUGGCUGUAGCACCAAGGUGCAUAGCACCAAGGAAAAAUGUGCCUUUGCCAGCAGAGUCAGAUGGGCGUUGUGACUGGGUUGCAGGAUGUGCAUGCCCAGUACCUGCAGGAUGUCAUGCAGGGAGGAGGAAAAACCUCUGUUGCAGGCUCACCCAGUAAUCUGCCAAAAAAUAAAGCAUGAGCAGCUGUUGGGCUGCAAGGGGAGAGCCCGGGGACCAUACCUGCCUAUUGUGGUGGAGCACACUUCAUAGUGACUACAACCCCAGUGAGUUGUGGGAGUUUAAGCAAGUAAUGUCGGCAGUCACGUACAAACUUAGUGCAAGUCAUUCAGGAGAAGGACAUGGCUGUGCAACCUAGUCCCACCAGGACACUGCAGCUCAAGGACUAUUUGCAGACAGGCAGAGAUAUGAAGCCUUUUCUGUUUGAUAAGACAACUGGCCAAGGUGCCUGGCUUGCGGGACACUGGACGACGAGUGCCACAUGUGUGCUUGGCCAUCCACUGGUCUCUGAACCCAGAUAAGUUUCCAGGCAUAGCCGCAUUUAUUAAUGGCUAUGAAAGCUGGUCAGUGAAAGUGAAACCGGUGUCUUUGCACCUUGACAUCGGCCACUUGGCUCUGCACUUAUGCACUGUGUAUGUGUCUCCCAUGCCUGAGAAGAUUCUGGGGGUGGAUGUUUUGCACAGCUUGGCAGCUGCGCCGUCUAUCACAAACUUAAUGGACCAGUGGGCAAUGGAACUGGACAGUCCAUCAAGAUCCAGAAACAGUUUGCCUUCAUGGGAGGCUGACAAUGGACUUUCACAGUGUUGCUGCAGGGCUAUAUGCAUAGUACCAUCGCUUGAAUCUACACAACAGGCCACUCCCCAAAAUUCCUCUGCUUAAUUUAGAGAGCAGGUUUCAGGGAUUCACCUGGGAACAACAGCAGCAGGCACCUGACUCAUAUUCCUGGCGGAGAGGAAGGGAGGCCAUGUAGCUGCUCUUCCGUGGACGCGGAUGCUUCCUGCCUCAUAGCCGGGUCGCCUCCGCGCUAACCCCGUUGAACCUUGCAACCAGCCCCUCUAGAGUGUGGAAGAAAGGAGCAUCGACCCAGCCUCAGAGACCCAUGAAUGAAGAAGAGAGAAGCAGAGGGAAAGAGAGAAACUGAUUGAAAAGAUGCAGUCAAAACGGGCGUUAGGAAAAAGAAGGAGAAGCAGAAGCUGCCAGUGCUGGUCCCAGAAGUAACAACCCAGAUCCUGAAGGCAUCUUUCCUGGAAGUUUUCCUAAAAGAUGAUCCAAACACCUAACUAACUAUACUGAUUUACAACAGCACCAACAACAUCAACAACAAACCUAAGGCCCAGAGGCACAAUGUUUGGACCAGCCCAGGAUCCCUCACUCACAAGAACUUCUAUCGGACUUAGCUUAUCCCUCAGAAGACCCUGGACACCACCAAAGGUCAUCAGCACAAUCUUGAUGGAUGUCUAAGAAUUGAAGAUUGAUUUUUGCCUAAUGACAAUAAAGUCAUCACUAAGUUAAAUAUCUAUAAAUUAAAUAUCUAUUAAAUAUGUAUUAAAUAUAUAGUAAAUAUUUAAUUGAAUAUUAAAUGCAUGUAUAUUCUGAGCUUUAUUGUGUUUUUCAUGAAGACACUGUCAAAGACUAGAGCCCCAUAUGUUAAAAAAGUGAGUGAGUAAUCUUAUUAUAAGCAUCAUAAUAUGGUCCCUUUUCUUCAUCCUGCUAUACAUAACAAUCUGUUAUACAAUCUCCAUUAUUCUACUAAUGAAGCCUCUUCAAAUCAUAACUUUGAGAAACAUUACCCUCACGUAACAAUUUUUUUUUUUUCUUUGAGAUACAGUCUGUCGCCCAGGCUGGAAUGCAGUGAUAUGAUCGCGGCUCACUUCAAUCUCUGCCUCCCAGGUUCAAGCGAUUCUCCUGUCUCAGCCUCCCCAGUCGCUGGGACUACAGGUGUGCGCCACCAAGCCUGGCUAAUUAUUGUAUUUUCAAGAGACAGGGUUUCACCAUAUUGGUCAGACUGGUCUGAAACUGCUGACCUCAGGUGAUCCGCCCACCUCGGCCUCCCAAAGUGCUGGGAUUACAGGUGCGAGCCACCAUGCCUGGCCCUAACUUAGCAAUUUUUGAAGAAAUCUCAGCAGCCUUAAUUCAAAAUCUAUGUAAAUUGUGUGUGUGUGUGUGUGUGAAAAAGCUACCAAAUGAUUCUUUUGGAGAUGAGGAAUUGACAGCGAGCUUAGGAAAAAGUCAGUUUUUGUUGUUGUUGUUGUUUUUAAUCAGGAGUCUUCCUAAGUUGAGAUGCUGACAUUCAUGGCCACUUAUUGUCUGGUUGUAAUUCAAAUCCAAUGUCCAGAUUCUACCCAUUAAAGAAGGUAAUAACUGGAAAUAACUUCAUUAAUAUCAUGUUCCAGUAUCUGCGGGCUCUGGUUGUAUGGGAGAAGGCUGUCUACCAUUUUGCUAUGAAUUCUAAUAACCUAUGCCAGAUAUAUAGUCAUGGGGUAACCCCCAUUAUAAAGCUUCUAGUCUACAAAACCAAGAGAAAGCUUGUCAAAAUAAAUCUUAACUUCUGACCACGGUAGAAGACCUACUACGGGGUAUUAACAGUCAGAACUGCCAAUCACUGCCUGGUCUAAAUGUUUGUAUUAAAAAUUCCAACUCUGGUGGCAUGAACUUUGGAUAAAAUCAUCAUAAGCUGUGUGAGUCCAAAAAAUAUAAACCCAGAAUGAAAUAUAUUUGGGGCUAAAAUGACGUUACUAAUGUCUGAGAUGGGUCUCCCUCUCCCCCUUUGAAACGUGAUGCUUUUAUUAGAUUAUUUCUACUGCCAAAAGACACAGCUACUGUCUGGCUACAUUUUCUGGUUUUCUCUUGAAUUAAAACAAAUAAAUAAAAGAAAAAUGUCUACAUCUUUUAAACAAAGCAAAUGGGAAUAUUUUUAUUAUUUUUUUUUCCUGCCAACUGAACAAGUUCUAUACAUUUAGAUAGGUCUCUGGUUCACAUAAUAUGAUAUGUACUUGUAUGUGCACACAGAAUGUAUAAGAUAAAAUGGGCUCCUUAAAAUAAGCAAGUAUUGCCUAAGGAUAUAUAGACAAAUGGAAAACAGCACUUCGCUAUGUUACAAGGGUUGGCAUGGUGCUGGAAUUGACUGGGAGCUGCAUAAUUUUCAACUUUGCUAUCUACAGGCUCCUGUUCCACCUCUAUGAUUUUUUUGCUUCAUCAUUUACCUUUCUGAUCCUUGAUAACAGUCAUUGUUUCUCAGAGCACAAUGAGAAUUUGGAUCACAUUGCUCAUUCUCCUCAUUUUACAGAUAAGGAAAGUGAAGCUUCCAGAAAUUAAAUCAUCAUCAUGUACAUAAAGUCAACAUACAUAAUUACAACUAAUUAGUGGCCAACCACAUGCUAGGAACCUCCAUAUUUACAUAUUCAGCAGUAUGUGCCAGAGGCAUCCUCAGCACUUUACUGACCUAACUGCAGGGUCCUUGGCGGUCAUCUUUGUUUUCCAUUUAAAUAAAACUAGGGGGAAAGACAUUUUCCAUGCAGGGGCAAAUCGCCUCUCAAUAAUUCUGCAGAUUCUUAGGGAAAGCAGAGGAGUGGGGAGUGGGUGGUCCUUACAUUUUUGCCUAUUGCCUCUGAGUUUGCCUUUGCUAAUUUCCUGAAAUUUAUUGAAAUUUGCCUUUUAUAUUAGUCCCAUUCUCUUUACUCUGCAUCAGUUCCUACAUACUGUUUAUGUAGGAUCGUUAUUUUCGAUGUUGUAUCAUUUUUUUAGAUUUGUAUAAAAAUGACUAGCAUUUGGGGUUUGCCAUGUGCCAAGUACUCUAAUAGGCACUUAAUAAAAGUUUUGUCUUUCAAAUCUGUCUUUGUGAGCAGGAUGCGGUGACUCACCCUGUAAUCUCAGCACUUUGGGAGGCCGAGGCAGGAAGACUGCUUCAGCCUAGGAGUUCAAGACUAGCGUGGGUGACAUGGUGGGACCCCAUCUCUACAAACAAUAGAAAAAUUAGCCAGACGUGGUGGCACACACCUGUAACCUCAGCUACUCCUGGGCUGGGAGGAUCGCUUGAGUCUGGGAGUUCGAGAUUACAGUGAGCUAUGAUAGCACCACUGCACUCCAUUCUGGGCAACAGAAUGAGACACUGUCUCUAAAAAAAUAAAGUAAAAUAUGUCUAUGUGAUUAGGUGACUGCUCUGAUGACAGAGCUGAAAUAUAAACCUGUGCCUAAUCAAUUCCAAAAUCUGUUCUCUCUCCACUAAGCUAUGUUGCUGCCUGUAUGCUAUUAGUUUUAUAAAGUGGGGUUCUUCAUAAGACAGAAAUUAUAUCAUUUGCCCAUCUCUGUAAGGCAUGAUCUCUCAACUGUGGGAUGUAUCAGGGUUCACUGGCAUUAAUCUCCAUCCC
rnacentral:lncRNA from 1 species